rnacentral:rRNA from 1 species
UACAGAGGUCUCAAGCGUUGUUCGGAAUUAUUGGGCGUAAAGCGCGUGUAGGCGGCUUUGCAAGUCGGGUGUGAAAGCCCUCGGCUCAACCGAGGAAGUGCGCCCGAAACUGCAGAGCUUGAGUACCGGAGAGGAUGGCGGAAUUCCCCAAGUAGAGGUGAAAUUCGUAGAUAUGCGGAGGAACACCGAUGGCGAAGGCAGCCCCCUGGGCCGACAUUGACGCUCAGGCACGAAAGCGUGGGGAGCAAACAGG